GACUACUGGGGUAUCUAAUCCCGUUCGCUCCCCUGGCUUUCGCGCCUCAGUGUCAGACAUCGUCCAGAAAGCCGCCUUCGCCACUGGUGUUCCUCCCCAUAUCUACGCAUUUCACCGCUACACGGGGAAUUCCGCUUUCCUCUCCGAUACUCAAGAAUCCCAGUUUCCAUCCCAUCACGGAGUUAAGCUCCGAACUUUCAGAACAGACUUAAGAUCCCACCUGCGCGCGCUUUACGCCCAAUAAUUCCGGACAACGCUCGCCACCUACGUAUUACCGCGGCUGCUGGCACGUAGUUAGCCGUGGCUUCCUUCUCAGGUACCGUCAAUUCACGCCCAUUUCCUGACGUGACCGUUCGUCCCUGAUGACAGAGCUUUACGACCCAAGGGCCUUCAUCACUCACGCGGCGUCGCUCCGUCAGACUUUCGUCCAUUGCGGAAGAUUCCCCACUGCUGCCGCCCGUAGG
rnacentral:rRNA from 1 species